AGUGAACGCUGGCGGUAGGCCUAACACAUGCAAGUCGAACGGCAGCACAGUAAGAGCUUGCUCUUACGGGUGGCGAGUGGCGGACGGGUGAGGAAUACAUCGGAAUCUACUUUUUCGUGGGGGAUAACGUAGGGAAACUUACGCUAAUACCGCAUACGACCUACGGGUGAGAGCAGGGGAUCUUCGGACCUUUCGCGAUUGUAUGAGCCGAUGUCGGAUUAGCUAGUUGGCGGGGUAAAGGCCCACCAAGGCGACGAUCCGUAGCUGGUCUGAGAGGAUGAUCGGCCACACUGGAACUGAGACACGGUCCAGACUCCUACGGGAGGCAGCAGUAGGGAAUAUUGGGCAAUGGGCGCAAGCCUGAUCCAGCAAUACCGCGUGGGUGAAGAAGGCCUUCGGGUUGUAAAGCCCUUUUGUUGGGAAAGAAAAACAGCAGGUUUAUACCCCGCUGUUCUGACGGUACCCAAAGAAUAAGCACCGGCUAACUUCGUG
rnacentral:rRNA from 1 species